GAUGAACGCUAGCUACAGGCUUAACACAUGCAAGUCGAGGGGAAACGACAUCGAAAUCUUGCUUUUGCUGGGCGUCGACCGGCGCACGGGUGAGUAACGCGUAUCCAACCUGCCCAUCACUUGGGAAUAACCUUGCGAAAGUAAGACUAAUACCCAAUCAUAUCCCACGAAGGCAUCGGAAUGGGAUUAAAGAUUUAUCGGUGAUGGAUGGGGAUGCGUCUGAUUAGCUUGUUGGCGGGGUAACGGCCCACCAAGGCAACGAUCAGUAGGGGUUCUGAGAGUAAGGUGCCCGACAGGGGAACUGAGACAAGGGCCAAACUCCUACGGGAGGCAGCAGUGAGGAAGAUAGGUCAAUGGGAGAGAGCCUGAACCAGCCAAGUAGGGUGCAGGAAGACGGCCCUAUGGGUUGUAAACUGCUUUUAGAAGGGAAUAAAGUGGGUUAAGGGUGAGUGUUUGCAUGUACCUUAUGAAUAAGGACCGGCUAAUUCCGUG
rnacentral:rRNA from 1 species